rnacentral:rRNA from 1 species
AGAGUUUGAUCCUGGCUCAGAAUGAACGCUGGCGGCAUGGCUAAGACAUGCAAGUCGAACGAAUAUAUUAAUUUGGGUAACCGAACGAUAUAUUAGUGGCGAAAGGGUGAGGAAUAGAUAGGUAACGUACCGUAAACUUCAGGAUAGCGUCUAUUCGCCGCAAGGCGGAUUUCCGAAAGGGGCAUUAAUACUGAAUACUAUCACUUGCUUAACUGCUUGUGAUCAAAGAUUUAUCGGUUUUCGAGCGGCCUAUCUCCUAUCAGCUUGUUGGUGAGGUAAUGGCUCACCAAGGCGACGACGGGUAGCGGGACUGAGAGGUUGGCCCGCCACAUCGGGACUGAGACACUGCCCGGACCUCCACGGAGGGCUGCAGUAACGAAUAUUGGGCAAUGGGCGAAAGCCUGACCCAGCGAUGCCGCGUGUAGGAUGAAGUCCCUCGGGAUGUAAACUACUUUCAGGGGUUAGAAAAUUUCGAUUGAUCAGCCCCAGAAGAAGUCACGGCUAACUUCGUGCCAGCAGCCGCGGUAAUACGAAGGUGGCAAGCGUUAUUCGAAAUCACUGGGCUUAAAGGGCGCGUAGGCGGAUCUGACAGUGCUUUGUGAAAUCCCCCGGCUUAACCGGGGAAUUGCUUGGCAUACUACAGAUCUUGAGGCAAGCAGGGGUGUGUGGAACUCUUGGUGGAGCGGUGGAAUGCGUAGAUAUCAAGAGGAACGCCGAAGGUGAAGACAGCACACUGGGGCUUGUACUGACGCUGAGGCGCGAAAGCGUGGGGAGCAAACAGGAUUAGAUACCCUGGUAGU